CCGCUGAAUUUAAGCAUAUCAGUAAGCGGAGGAAAAGAAACUAACAAGGAUUCCCUUAGUAACGGCGAGUGAAGCGGGAAAAGCCCAGCACCGAAUCCCCUGGUUWUGCGCUAGCGGGAAAUGUGGUGUUUGGGACGYCGGUCGGCGCYSUGUCCCUGUGCCCAAGUCCUUCUGAUCGGGGCCUUUCCCAKAGUGGGUGUCAGGCCUUUAGCGGCACGGGACUAGGCGUCCUUCCAGCGUCCUUGGAGUCGGGUUGUUUGGGAAUGCAGCUCUAAGUGGGUGGUAAACUCCAUCUAAGGCUAAAUACUGGCACGAGUCCGAUAGCGAAMAAGUACCGUGAGGGAAAGUUGAAAAGAACUUUGAAGAGAGAGUUCAGUCAUAGCUGUUUCC
rnacentral:rRNA from 1 species